rnacentral:miRNA from 1 species
UUGACGCAAAUGUUUGUAUGU